rnacentral:rRNA from 1 species
ACUUUAAUUGAAGAGUUUGAUCAUGGCUCAGAUUGAACGCUGGCGGCAGGCCUAACACAUGCAAGUCGAGCGGCAGCGACUUAACUGAACCUUCGGGGAACGUUAAGGGCGGC